AACGAACGCUGGCGGCAGGCCUAACACAUGCAAGUCGAGCGCGCCCUUCGGGGUGAGCGGCGGACGGGUGAGUAACGCGUGGGAACGUGCCCUUUUCUACGGAAUAGCCUCGGGAAACUGAGAGUAAUACCGUAUACGCCCUUUGGGGGAAAGAUUUAUCGGAAAAGGAUCGGCCCGCGUUGGAUUAGGUAGUUGGUGGGGUAAUGGCCUACCAAGCCGACGAUCCAUAGCUGGUUAGAGAGGAUGAUCAGCCACACUGGGACUGAGACACGGCCCAGACUCCUACGGGAGGCAGCAGUGGGGAAUCGUAGACAAUGGGGGCAACCCUGAUCUAGCCAGGCCGCGUGAGUGAUGAAGGCCUUAGGGUUGUAAAGCGCUUUCAGCUGGGAAGAUAAUGACGGUACCAGCAGAAGAGGCCCCGGCUAACUCCGUG
rnacentral:rRNA from 1 species